rnacentral:snRNA from 1 species
GCUCGCUUCGGCAGCAUAUACUAAAAUUGGAAUGAUACAGAGAAGAUUAACAUAGCCCCUGCACAAGGAUGACACACAAAUUUGUGAAGCAUUCCAUAUUUUU